rnacentral:rRNA from 1 species
UACAGAGGUCCCAAGCGUUGUUCGGAUUCACUGGGCGUAAAGGGUGCGCAGGUGGGCUGGCAAGUUCGAUGUGAAAGCCCCGGGCUUAACCCGGGAAUGGCAUUGGAAACUGCCGGUCUGGAGGAUCGGGAGGGGGGACUGGAAUUCUUGGUGUAGCAGUGAAAUGCGCAGAUAUCAGGAAGAACACCCGUGGCUAAGGCGGCUCUCUAGUACGGUACUGACGCUGAGACGCGAAAGCGUGGGGAGCGAACAGG